AGAGUUUGAUCAUGGCUCAGGAUGAACGCUAGCGGCAGGCCUAAUACAUGCAAGUCGGACGGGAUCCAUCGGAGAGCUUGCUCGAAGAUGGUGAGAGUGGCGCACGGGUGCGUAACGCGUGAGCAACCUACCUCUAUCAGGGGGAUAGCCUCUCGAAAGAGAGAUUAACACCGCAUAAUAUCAACAGUUCGCAUGUUCGGUUGAUUAAAUAUUUAUAGGAUAGAGAUGGGCUCGCGUGACAUUAGCUAGUUGGUAGGGUAACGGCUUACCAAGGCGACGAUGUCUAGGGGCUCUGAGAGGAGAAUCCCCCACACUGGUACUGAGACACGGACCAGACUCCUACGGGAGGCAGCAGUAAGGAAUAUUGGUCAAUGGGCGGAAGCCUGAACCAGCCAUGCCGCGUGCAGGAUGACUGCCCUAUGGGUUGUAAACUGCUUUUGUCCAGGAAUAAACCUAUCUACGUGUAGAUAGCUGAAUGUACUGGAAGAAUAAGGAUCGGCUAACUCCGUGCCAGCCGCCGCGGUAA
rnacentral:rRNA from 1 species